UACGUAAGGGGGCAAGCGUUGUCCGGAUUUAUUGGGCGUAAAGAGCGUGUAGGCGGCCAAACAGGUCAGCUGUGAAAACAUCGAGGCUCAACCUCGAGACGUCGGUUGAAACCGUUUGGCUAGAGUCCGGAAGAGGAGAGUGGAAUUCCCGGUGUAGCGGUGAAAUGCGCAGAUAUCGGGAAGAACACCCGUGGCGAAGGCGACUCUUUGGUCUGUAACUGACGCUGAGGCGCGAAAGCGUGGGGAGCAAACA
rnacentral:rRNA from 1 species